UGAGGAAUAUUGGUCAAUGGCCGAGAGGCUGAACCAGCCAAGUCGCGUGAGGGAUGACGGCCCUACGGGUUGUAAACCUCUUUUGUCGGGGAGCAAGACCCGCCACGUGUGGCGGAGCGAGAGUACCCGAAGAAAAAGCAUCGGCUAACUCCGUGCCAGCAGCCGCGGUAAUACGGAGGAUGCGAGCGUUAUCCGGAUUUAUUGGGUUUAAAGGGUGCGCAGGCGGACCAUCAAGUCAGCGGUAAAAUCGUGGGGCCCAACCCCAUCCCGCCGUUGAAACUGGCGGUCUUGAGUGAGCGAGAA
rnacentral:rRNA from 1 species